GAUGAAGAACGUAGCGAAAUGCGAUAAGUAAUGUGAAUUGCAGAAUUCAGUGAAUCAUCGAAUCUUUGAACGCACAUUGCGCCCGCCAGUAUUCUGGCGGGCAUGCCUGUUCGAGCGUCAUUUCAACCAUCAAGCCCCCGGGCUUGUGUUGGGGACCUGCGGCUGCCGCAGGCCCUGAAAAGCAGUGGCGGGCUCGCUGUCACACCGAGCGCAGUAGAUUUUAUCUCGCUCUGGGCGUGCUGCGGGUUCCGGCCGUUAAACCACCCUUUUAACCCAAGGUUGACCUCGGAUCAGGUAGGAAGACCCGCUGAACUUAAGCAUAUCAAUAAGCGGAGGA
rnacentral:misc_RNA from 1 species